CUCAACAGUCAACACAAGCAUCCAGUGGCACAGCACGGAUUGCGGCACCCGGAACAUCGACACCAUUCUGUACACUUUCUGCAGGACCAAGCGCACCCGCACGAACACCCAGAGCAAGCUGGCUUCGGAAAAGUGCAGCAUGGCCUCCGGCAGCAGCUGCUGCCGUCUUCACCCUCACAGCACGACGACUGGCAUUUGCAGCAGGACGACGCCCCCUUGCAGCACGAGGACUGGCACUUGAAGCACUGCUUGCAGGAGCAGCACCCAAACAGGUUGGAGCACUUGAAGGACUUGAAACAACCGAAGCAACUGAAACAGCUUGAGCACGAGCAGCAUCCCGCGCAGCUGCAACAUUGCGCGCUGAAACAGCCACAGCUUGGCUUGCAGUCGCUGGGGCAUGACCAGCAUUUCUUGCAACUGCCGCAGGGGUUGCAGCCGGAGCAACUCGGGAGGCUGCAGGUGCAGCAGUUUGGGCUGCACUGGAAUUUGCAGCACGAGAGGGUCUUGAAGCAGCUGCAGUUCGGUUUGCAGCAUGACGGAUCGCAGCACGAGCUACAGUUUGGUCUGCAGCAGGUGUUGCAGUUUGGUUUACAGCAUGAUGGACUGCCGGUGCAGCACGAGCUGCAGUUUGAACUACAGGAUGGGCAAUCUGGCUUGCAGCAUGAUAUGUCGCAACAUGAACAGCUGUUGGGCCCAAAGCAGGGUUUGUUGCAUGAUUUGCAGCUGGGCUUGCAGCAUGACAGAUCUGGGCAUGAGCAGCAGGAGCAAUCCAGGCAGCAUGGCCUUUUGCAGCUGGGCAAGCAAUGGCAGGAGCAACAGAACCAUGACACGCAUAUGCACAAUUUUGAUCUGCGUGGAGGGACAAACAGUAAGCUCAGAAACUGCACAAAUUCAAUAUGCA
rnacentral:misc_RNA from 1 species